GAUGAACGCUGGCGGCGUGCCUAAUACAUGCAAGUCGAGCGAACAGACGAGGAGCUUGCUCCUCUGACGUUAGCGGCGGACGGGUGAGUAACACGUGGAUAACCUACCUAUAAGACUGGGAUAACUUCGAGAAACCGGAGCUAAUACCGGAUAAUAUAUUGAACCGCAUGGUUCAAUAGUGAAAGACGGUUUUGCUGUCACUUAUAGAUGGAUCCGCGCCGCAUUAGCUAGUUGGUAAGGUAACGGCUUACCAAGGCAACGAUGCGUAGCCGACCUGAGAGGGUGAUCGGCCACACUGGAACUGAGACACGGUCCAGACUCCUACGGGAGGCAGCAGUAGGGAAUCUUCCGCAAAGGGCGAAAGCCUGACGGAGCAACGCCGCGUGAGUGAUGAAGGUCUUCGGAUCGUAAAACUCUGUUAUUAGGGAAGAACAAAUGUGUAAGUAACUAUGCACGUCUUGACGGUACCUAAUCAGAAAGCCACGGCUAACUACGUG
rnacentral:rRNA from 1 species